UUCGCAAGUACUACAUGAUACUAAUAUAUGAUAGGAAAUGUCUAGGGCACAUCUAGAUGUGCCCUACUUAUUGCACAUUUAAGUGAGUGAAUCAAGUAUGAAGAGGAAAAGAAAAAAGAAAAAAAAUAUCCACACGAAUCUCAACGUAAGAUCAAUGAUAUAGGACCUAGAUGUGCAAUACUUAUGGCACAUCUAGAUGUGCUUUAGCAAAACUGUAUAUGAUACUAUGCAUUAGGGAGGUAGUAUCAUAUACUAGUACCCCGUUACAACCAGCCUAACCUGCGGCUGCGGGCCCCUCUCUCCUCUCGCUACGCCGGCGAUGAGCUGCUCGUCGGAACUCCCCUCCCCCUCGCCCAGACUCCGACCAACUCUCCACUCCCGCCUCCCCAGCCCCCGCCGACUCCAAGCAGUCAGGCCUCCCGUCUCCACCCACCAAUCAUCGCCGCGCUAUCUUGUCCAGCAACGCCUCUUCCGCCGUCGUGGCGCCACCCUGAAACCCCAAAGCCUCGGUGUCGUGAUACCAAGGCCACGUUAUCAGGGGCACACCACCACUACCCCGCCCCGAAAUACCUGGGUGCCAGUGUCGCCACCAUUGCGGCGGCGUCCCGAAACCCCUUGGUCUAAGGUAGUACAAUUUCUGCCGCUCAGGGGUCACGGUCGUGGUGGUGGGAUUGAACGCCCGGAAGGAGUGCGCUGACAGGAGCAGGAAGACCGGCGUGAUCACCUACCGCAACUUCUCCUGUUUCCCGCGAGGCCUUCAGGCCAGUGUGAAGCCGGGAAGCCACACCACGGCUGAUGGCGCCAAUGCCGGACCCGGCGACGGGCCGCAGUGCCCACCUCCAUCGCCGGGCUCAACAAAUCUGGCCCCAAGCUUGAGGUAUACGCCUUCUAGCUGCGGCACAACUAUCCACUCUUCGCCGCAUCCUGCCUGCAUGCCUACUUUUUUCCACCUGACAUUUGGUUGAAUCGGGGAUGAGCCCGGACCGCUGAAUUAAUUCUACCGAGGGACUCAGAGGCAGUAGUAUACAAAUCCACCUUCGGAAUGAGGUUAUGAGCAAGUGCCAAUUAUCUGUGAACACUUCGCCUGAAAAUGGAGUUGCUGGUUUUCUGGGUUUAGACAAUCACUGAAGGGAAGCUCUGCUCCAUCAUUGCAGCAACCUGUCUUCAUGAAGCUCUGAGCCGCCUGUUCGAUCUUCUAGCUCCCAGUCAUCAGGGGAUCUUAUGGAGAAGCCCUCCAUACAGCUGCAGUAAGGAAGCUUGUCCUCUUCGCAGAUCGUGAAAGGCCCACAGAUGCCAUAUACAUCACAAUGGUCGUUGGGGUUGGUGUAGGCUGGUACCCAAUCCUGUGCACGCUCAACCCACAAGAGUAUCUUGACCUGACCAGAGUUAUUCAGCGCA